AAGAUAAAUGGCGUAAAUUAGCGUGUAUGGUUUCGGCCCGUAAGGAGCAUAAUGCUUUAUCUUUC
rnacentral:tRNA from 1 species